UGCGCAGGCGGGCCUGCAAGUCAGUGGUGAAAUCCCGGGGCUCAACUCCGGAACUGCCAUUGAUACUACAGGUCUUGAGUUUGGUUGAAGUGGGCGGAAUGUAGCAUGUAGCGGUGAAAUGCAUAGAUAUGCUACAGAACACCGAUCGCGAAGGCAGCUCACUAAGCCAAAACUGACGCUCAGGCACGAAAGCGUGGGGAGCGAACAGGAUUAGAUACCCUGGUAGUCC
rnacentral:rRNA from 1 species